CGGCGUGCCUAACACAUGCAAGUCGUACGAGAAAGUCGGCUUCGGCUGAUGAGUAAAGUGGCGCACGGGUGAGUAACGCGUGGAUAAUCUGCCCUUGAGUGUGGAAUAACGUACCGAAAGGUGCGCUAAUACCGCAUAAUGCCUGGCAACACAAGUUGUCCGGCCAAAGAAGGCCUCUGUUUACAAGCUUUUGCUCAAGGAUGAGUCCGCGUACCAUUAGCUAGUUGGUGGGGUAACGGCCUACCAAGGCUACGAUGGUUAGCUGGUCUGAGAGGAUGAUCAGCCACACUGGAACUGAGACACGGUCCAGACUCCUACGGGAGGCAGCAGUGAGGAAUAUUGCGCAAUGGGGGCAACCCUGACGCAGCAACGCCGCGUGAGUGAGGAAGGUUUCGGACUGUAAAGCUCUGUCGAGCGGGAAGAAAUGUACCAUGGCUAAUAUCCAUGAUAUUUGACGGUACCGCUAGAGGAAGCACCGGCUAACUCCGUG
rnacentral:rRNA from 1 species